GUGCCAGCAGCCGCGGGUAAUACGUAGGUGGCAAGCGUUGUCCGGAUUUAUUGGGCGUAAAGCGAGCGCAGGCGGUUUCUUAAGUCUGAUGUGAAAGCCUUCGGCUCAACCGAAGAAGUGCAUCGGAAACUGGGAAACUUGAGUGCAGAAGAGGACAGUGGAACUCCAUGUGUAGCGGUGAAAUGCGUAGAUAUAUGGAAGAACACCAGUGGCGAAGGCGGCUGUCUGGUCUGUAACUGACGCUGAGGCUCGAAAGCAUGGGUAGCAAACAGGAUUAGAUACCCUGGUAGUCCAUGCCGUAAACGAUGAGUGCUAGGUGUUGGAGGGUUUCCGCCCUUCAGUGCCGCAGCUAACGCAUUAAGCACUCCGCCUGGGGAGUACGACCGCAAGGUUGAAACUCAAAGGAAUUGACGGGGGCCCGCACAAGCGGUGGAGCAUGUGGUUUAAUUCGAAGCAACGCGAAGAACCUUACCAGGUCUUGACAUCCUUUGACCACUCUAGAGAUAGAGCUUUCCCUUCGGGGACAAAGUGACAGGUGGUGCAUGGUUGUCGUCAGCUCGUGUCGUGAGAUGUUGGGUUAAGUCCCGCAACGAGCGCAACCCUUAUUACUAGUUGCCAGCAUUUAGUUGGGCACUCUAGUGAGACUGCCGGUGACGAACCGGAGGAAGGUGGGGACGACGUCAAAUCAUCAUGCCCCUUAUGACCUGGGCUACACACGUGCUACAAUGGAUGGUACAACGAGUUGCGAGACCGCGAGGUUUAGCUAAUCUCUUAAAACCAUUCUCAGUUCGGAUUGUAGGCUGCAACUCGCCUACAUGAAGCCGGAAUCGCUAGUAAUCGCGGAUCAGUAUGCCGCGGUGAAUACGUUCCCGGGCCUUGUACACACCGCCCGU
rnacentral:rRNA from 1 species